GACAAACGCUGGCGGCGCGCCUAAAACAUGCAAGUCGUGCGGACCAGCUUGUCUGGUCAGCGGCGAACGGCUGAGUAACACGUGGGUGACCUACCGUCGAGCGGGGGAUAACCGGCCGAAAGGUUGGCUAAUACCGCAUGCGCUCACUCGGGCUGCCGGGUGAGGAAAGCCGCAAGGCGCUCGGCGAUGGGCCCGCGGCCGAUUAGCUGGUUGGUGGGGUAACGGCCCACCAAGGCGACGAUCGGUAGCUGGUCUGAGAGGAUGGCCAGCCAGACGG
rnacentral:rRNA from 1 species